UUAAACAAACAAACAUAUUCAUUGCUAAGUAUAGCCAGCCUUGACAGUACGGAUCAAUAACAUCCUCACGAUUAUGAUCGCCUAAUUUGAUCUAACGUUAAAAUCACGCUAACCUUCAUCCAAAACCGCGUUUAGCAAUUUUGACAGAUGGACGAAAACUCGGCAUGCCCACGUCCGCAAGAGCAGUACAGAUAUCAAAGAGUAAGGAGCAGUUAUUUGCCCACUGUUGAUAUAAUCUUGGAUAGUUUGAAUGCAUGUUUGCCAUGGUUUACCGGGGCAUAUGGAAAUCAUGACGUGCGGCAGUGUCUUCUAUUUUUGUGAACAACUAUGAAAGUUUUGGUUUCCAAUGUUGUGUGCGGACCAAUAACCAGCUUGAUACCUUUACCUUAAUGAAUAAGGAUAAACAGGAAGCACAAAAAAAAAUCUUGAUCAAGACAUUUCAACAGAGAUAUGAUAGUGUUGUACAAGUGGACUUAUUGCUUGGUUUCUAUAUUUCCUUUCCGGUUUAUUAUUACGCAUUACCGCCUUGUAAUAGGAGACAUCUCACAAUCAGAUUUGAAGUGAAUCUACAUAAGUCACGAGAUGGUUGGCCGUUGUUGCCCAAAAUGUUAUGUUCGAUUUUCUCCACCGCAAUUUGCCUUUUGUCUACGGUGGUAUGUUCUUUUUUUGCCAAUUGUUUAUUUAUU
rnacentral:lncRNA from 1 species